CCUACGGGAGGCAGCAGUGGGGAAUUUUGGACAAUGGGCGCAAGCCUGAUCCAGCAAUGCCGCGUGAGUGAAGAAGGCCUUCGGGUUGUAAAGCUCUUUUGUCAGGGAAGAAACGGUGCGGGCUAAUAUCCCGCACUAAUGACGGUACCUGAAGAAUAAGCACCGGCUAACUACGUGCCAGCAGCCGCGGUAAUACGUAGGGUGCAAGCGUUAAUCGGAAUUACUGGGCGUAAAGCGUGCGCAGGCGGUUUUGUAAGUCUGUCGUGAAAUCCCCGGGCUCAACCUGGGAAUUGCGAUGGAGACUGCAAGGCUAGAAUCUGGCAGAGGGGGGUAGAAUUCCACGUGUAGCAGUGAAAUGCGUAGAGAUGUGGAGGAACACCGAUGGCGAAGGCAGCCCCCUGGGUCAAGAUUGACGCUCAUGCACGAAAGCGUGGGGAGCAAACAGGAUUAGAUACCCUGGUAGUCCACGCCCUAAACGAUGUCUACUAGUUGUCGGGUUUUAAUUAACUUGGUAACGCAGCUAACGCGUGAAGUAGACCGCCUGGGGAGUACGGUCGCAAGAUUAAAACGUCAAAGGAAUUGACGGCUGAGACGNGCGAGACGACGACGAGGAGGAGG
rnacentral:rRNA from 1 species